rnacentral:misc_RNA from 1 species
GAUGAAGAACGUAGCGAAAUGCGAUAAGUAAUGUGAAUUGCAGAAUUCAGUGAAUCAUCGAAUCUUUGAACGCACAUUGCGCCCGCCAGUAUUCCGGCGGGCAUGCCUGUUCGAGCGUCAUUUCAACCAUCAAGCCCCAGGCUUGUGUUGGGGACCUGCGGCUGCCGCAGGCCCUGAAAACCAGUGGCGGGCUCGCUAGUCACACCGAGCGUAGUAGCAUACACAUCGCUCAGGGCGUGCUGCGGGUUCCGGCCGUUAAACCCCUUUUUUACCCAAGGUUGACCUCGGAUCAGGUAGGAAGACCCGCUGAACUUAAGCAUAUCAAUAAGCGGAGGA